CCUACGGGAGGCUGCAGUGAGGAAUAUUGGUCAAUGGGCGCAAGCCUGAACCAGCCAUGCCGCGUGCAGGAAGACGGCCUAUGGAUUGUAAACUGCUUUUAUUCGAGAAUAGGUACCGAAUGAAUAAGCACCGGCUAACUCCGUGCCAGCAGCCGCGGUAAUACGGAGGGUGCAAGCGUUAUCCGGAAUCAUUGGGUUUAAAGGGUCCGCAGGCGGACAUAUAAGUCAGUGGUGAAAUCCCAUCGCUUAACGAUGGAACUGCCAUUGAUACUGUAUGUCUUGAAUGUGGUCGAAGUGGGCGGAAUAUGUCAUGUAGCGGUGAAAUGCUUAGAUAUGACAUAGAACACCGAUAGCGAAGGCAGCUCACUAGGCAUAUUGACGCUCAUGGACGAAAGCGUGGGGAGCAAACAGGAUUAGAUACCCUUGUAGUC
rnacentral:rRNA from 1 species